UGAGAAUGUUUGCUGUAAUUCUUGUCGUUUCACUGAUUUUCUCUCAAGGAGCUUUUGGACAUGUCAUUUCUGAUCGUUUCAACAAUUCAAUGGGACUCUACUACUGUUAUUGCACCUCACCGGACAUCAAUUUUUUUGACGAAGUAUUAAGUUGCACUUGUUUACCAACGCCUGAUUGUCAUAAAGACUCAUUUUAUGAAGAAAUUAUAUGCGAAAAGGACCAUCAUGAAUAUAUUUUGGUAAAAAAUAUUGAUGAAAAUCAUCGUUCGAAGCGUGGAUUGUUCGACAAAUUUCAUUUUGAUGGAAAAUUCGACCACAAUAAGAACACAAAUUUCAAUCUUACGUUCGGAAAACCUACAAAACCGCCAAUAUAAAUGCAAAAAAUUAUUAAAAUGUACUAAUAAAGUAGAAAAAUUAUGGAGGAAUCAUAAAAUUAUGAUUUACUAACACUUAAAAUCAUUAAAAACAAUAAAAAAAUU